UAGGGAAUCUUCCGCAAUGGACGCAAGCCUGACGGAGCAACGCCGCGUGAGUGAAGAAGGAUUUCGGUUCGUAAAACUCUGUUGUUAGAGAAGAACAGCGCAUAGAGUAACUGCUAUGCGUGUGACGGUAUCUAACCAGAAAGCCACGGCUAACUACGUGCCAGCAGCCGCGGUAAUACGUAGGGCGCAAGCGUUAUCCGGAAUUAUUGGGCGUAAAGAGCUUGUAGGCGGUUCGUCGCGUCGGGUGUGAAAGCCCAUCGCUUAACGGUGGGUUUUCGCCAGGUACGGGCGGGCUGGAGUGCAGUAGGGGAGGCUGGAAUUCUCGGUGUAACGGUGGAAUGUGUAGAUGUCGGGAAGAACACCAAUGGCGAAGGCAGGUCUCUGGGCUGUUACUGACGGUGGGGAGCGAAAGGGUGGGGAGCGAACAGG
rnacentral:rRNA from 1 species